AGUUAAUGAGCUUGAAUAAGCAUAUAUUUUGAAAAUAUAUCAAAGAAAUAAAAUUUUCUAUUGACUU
rnacentral:tRNA from 1 species